CAGAUAUUACCUCCCUGUAGUUCAUGGAAUAGCUAGCUGUUGUGGGAUUAGAAGGAGGUUCUGAGCCCCUUUCCAAGCCCAAACAAAGGUCCCAAGCUCUACUACAUGGGAGAUAGUAAGGGUAAUACCUGGUGCAAAACAAAGAGGUUAGAAUACUUGUCCAAGCAUACAGUGAGAUCCUGAAGCCCAUAUCAAGGCAUUCCACAUGACUUGGCUUAUGUAAGCAAGUUAGAAGUUAAUAGCUUCAUGACAUAACAAGAAACAAUAAUAAAAAAGCAAGAGAAUGAAAAAAAGGAAGAAAACGUGAAAUAUUUAAUUGAUGAAACAAGUAACCUGGAAAAUAAAUCCUAGAGAGAUAAUAUAAGAAUUAUUAGAUUACCAAAAAUAAUAAUACAAGAAAUAAAUUAAAAGAAAAACUUUUGUGGUAUCCUUGAACAAGAGAGAAAAUAGAAAUUGAAAUAAUCCACAGUUAUAUCCAGAAAUAAUUCAGAAAUUACAACCUCCAGGAAUGUUAUAGCUAAAUUCAAGAGCUCCAAAUCCAAGAAAAAUACUGCAAAUAGCUCAAAAAAAACAAUUCAGAAACCAUGGAGCUAUAGUCAGGAUUACACAGGAAUUAGUAUCCUUUGUUAUUAAAGAACAGAAGGGCUCGAAUCUAAUAUUCUGGAAGGCAAAAGAUCUAUGUUUAUAUCCCAGUAUCGUCUAUCCAGCAAAACUGAAUAUAUACUUUUGGGAGGUAGUGAAAUAGAGGAUUUUUAAGUAUUCUUGUUGAAAAGACCAGAUCCAAAUAGAAAAUUGAUGCUGAAGCCCAAGACCUUAGAAAGAAGCCUAAAAACAUGAAUAAAAUAGAGAAAAGUUAAGGAAUUCAAUAAUAUCAAACUGUAUGUUUUCCUACAUGGAAAGAUGUUAUUUGUAAUUCUUAAAAUUUUUUAUUAGUAGUAGAUCAGAUAGAAAGUAUAUACAUAGAAAUAAUGUUAGAAGUAAGCUUAUUAGAAUGCUAUGAAAUGCAAAAAAAAUCAAGGUGGCAAAAAAUAUUACAGAAAGAAUAAUGGAAAGGGAGCUGUGGAUUGGGGUAAAUUAUUUCACCUAAAGAGGUGUGAAAAAUGGACAGUGGAGGGUGAUAGAGGUUUCAAACCCUAGAACUGAAGUUACAGUCUGGGAAAUUGGUGAAUUUUCAGCCCCAGCAGGGGAGUGGCCCCAGGAGAUAUUCUGGAAUCUUGGGAGAGCAAGAGUUUCUGCCAGCAAGAGGAAGUUAAUCCUCAAUCCUGAGACAGUCUAAGGAGAGGGCUGGUAAAGACUUUGCUCCUGAGGAAAGAUUUACAUCCUUUUCCUGGUGAUUUUGACACCUUUCCCCCCACCAAUUUCCAACUGAGGGGGCCAUUGAAGAAGACAGUCAAGCAGCUGAGAAGAUCACCUCACAGCUCUUGAUGCCCUGGGUCUGAACUGUGCCUGUAGACCAAGACCAAAGCCAUCCAAGCCUGAAUCUCUAUAAGGUAAGUCUACACAAAUCAUCAGCUUUUUAAUAUAUUUCCAAUAAAGUUCGGCAGCAAGAGAUUGAAAGAGAAAUUCUUUUCAAAAUGACUCUAGAUGCUAUAAAAUACCUGGGAAUGUAUUCUUGUUCUAAGACAUGUAUCCAUCUAAGACAAAUCCAGGAAUUUUGUGAACACAGAGACAAAAUACUUAUCAGAUAAAGUCACAUCCAAACAAUUGGAAAAAAUUAAUUGCUCAUGGGUAGGUUCCACUAGUGUAAUAAAAGUGACAAUUCUACCUAAGAUAAUUUACUUGUUAAUGCCAUAAAACUGUCAAACAAUCAUUUAAUAGAAUAAGAAAAAUAACAAAAUUAAUAUGGAAUAACAAAAGGUCAAGAAUGUUGAGGGAAUUAUUUUUAAACAUGCAUAGUAUGAUGGACUGGUCAUACCAGAUCUUAAACUGUACUAUAAAGUAGUAAUCAUCAAAAGAGUCUGGUUUUGGCUAAGAAAUAGAAUGGCAGAUCAAUGGAAUGUAUUAGAUACAAAAUAUAAAGGAUAAAUGAACUUAGAUAAACCCAAAGACUCAAGAUUUUGUAAUGAGAAAUUACCUUUUAACAAAACUUGUAGGAAAAUGGAAAAACAGUAAGACAGAACGUAGGCAUGAACCAAUGUCUCCCACAGUAUACUAAGAUGAAGUCAAAAUGGGUAUAUGAUUUAGCUAUAAGUUAGGGGGUCAAAGAAUAAUUUAUCUGUCAAAUAUUUAGAGAAGGGAAGAAUUUAUGUCCAAACAAGAGAUAAAGAGCAGGAUAUGAUAUAAAAUUAAUAAUUUUGAUUAUAUUAAAUUAAAAUGCUUUUAAAUUUAAAAGUUUUAAACAAAACUAAUAUAAACAAGAGGAAAAGUGGAAUGACAAACUUGGGGGAAAAAUCGUACAACAAAUUUCUCUGAUAAAGGUCUGAAAUCUCAUAUCUAUAGGAAAUGAAGUUAAAUUUAUAAAAUUACAAGGCAUUUCCCAAUUGACCAAUGGUCAAAGGAACACAUAAAAAUGUGCUAAAAAUUCCUGUUUGGAGAAAUGCCAAAUAAAACAAAAUUGUGAUACUACUUUAACCUUAUCAGACUUGCCAAUAUAACAGUAAAUGGCAAUAACAAAUGUUGCAAGGGAUAUGGAAAAAUUGGGACACAUGCAUUUUGUUCGAAUUGUGAAAUGAUCCAACAAUUCUGAAGGAAAAUUUACAACUAUAUCAAAAAGGUUAUAAAAGUUUGCACACCCUUUGAUCUUGUAAUACCACUAUUAGGCAUAUAUUCCAAAGAGAUAAUAAAAAUGAGGAAAUAUAUUUAUAUUUGCUCUUUUUGUGGUUUCAAAGAUUUGGAAAUUGAGAUGUCCCUCAAAAGGGGAACAGCUGAACAAAUGAUGGUACAGAUUAGUAUUGAAAUACUAUUAUGCCAUAAAAAAUGAUAGGCAAGAAGAUUUCAGAAAAGGCUAGGAAGAGCUGCUAGGAAGAGCUAAAUGAUCUGAUUUAGAGUGAAAUAAGUAGAGCCAGGAGUAUAUACACAGUGUUAUAAUUAAAAUGGUUGAGGUUGUAAACUGUGGCAGUUAAAAGAGUUGGGGUCAUAAACUGUAGUGAGUAAAAGAGUGGAUGAGUAAAUUGUGACCCCAGAAAAUAUAUUUUCACUACAGUGUCUUGUUUCAAAUCAAAUAUAAGGUGGUCUCCAGGGAAAUAUUCCCAAUUAUGAAUAUACCCAAGUCAACUGGGUUUUAUAGAGAAUUUAAUUAAUACGAAUGAGGAAUUAAAGAAAGGAAGAGAAAGGAAGAAAAAGGAAAUAAGUAUGAAGGGCCUCAAGCCAACAUGGCCUAGACCUGAGUCUUAAGAGAGAAAGAUCAGUGAGUCAGUCUUUUAUCACUCACCACAAGGUCUGUCUAAGCAAGGAUUCUAGUGACAGAGUCUCCUCAGAGAGAGUUCCAGCCAGAGUCCUUCUCAAAGAGCCUUCCAGCCAGAGACUGUUUCAAAGGGCCUCUCUCAAGAGCCUCCAGAGGGACAGAGUCCCCUCAGAGGAGCUCCAGUGAGACCUCCUUAGAGAUUGUCCUCCAAGAGCUUCCCUUCUCCAGAGCCUCUCUCAAGAGAGAUUCUCCAAAAGGAUCCCCAUAAGAGCUCCCUUCUCAAGCGAAUCUCUUUCUUAUAUAGGGGGUUUUCUCCUAGUCACCUCCCCUAAGUUCUUCCAUCUACCAAUCGCUGUAGACUUUUUCCAAAGGACAACACAUUCUAAAAACAAUGCUGAGUCGACUAAUCCCUUUAGGAGAAAACCUCUAAGUCUGAACCAGAGAAAAAACAGCUGAGUCGACUAAUCCCUUCAGUAAAUCUGAACCAGAGAAAACACAGCUGAGUCGACUAAUCCCCUCAAGAGAAAACCUCUGAAUAAGUUUUCACCUCAUUGUUUAGCAAGGAGUUUUCUCCCCUAAAGCAGUCUUAAGUACGGGUGGAGUAGAGGUCCUCCCAUUUCUGAUCCUGGCGAGUUCUCACAGUCAAAAUGGGGAAUGCUCCUAGUAGGGGAUUGUUUCAAUUGAGAAUUCCCCAAUGGGGAAAUUUUUAACAUUCACAAGUCUGAGAAAUUUCAAGAUUUACAACAGUAACAGAAAUAUUAUACAAUGAUCAACUGGGAAAACUUGGCUACUAUCAGGAAUGCAAUGCCUGGGAAAAUCCUGAAACACUAUGAUAGAAAAUGCUAUUCAAUAAAAGAGAAAGAACUGUUGGAGUGGGAUAGAUGCAGGUCAAAGGAUAUUGUCUUUCAUAUCAGAGUAUUUAUGAAUUGAUUUGGGGGUUUUGUUUAGAGGAUAGAGCUUUGAUCUUGGACUUAAGAAGAUGUAGAUUUAAAUCCUGCAGCUAAAAUUUACUUGCUAUGUGACCUUAUAAAAUUCACUUGACUUUGGUUACAUCAUUUGUCAAAUGACAGAGGGCCUUGAAGUUUCUUUGCUGACCUUACUCUGCACUCUCCAGUCAUAACAGGGAGGAACACUCUGGCUAAAAUGUAGGAUAACAGAAGAUGAUCUGUCACAGGUAAAACUGGAAAGUUUGGGUGGAAGGACAUCAAUUAUGUGGCCAAGAAUCAAGGACACUCAAAAUGUUGAAACUAGAAGAACCAUUCAACUAUCAUCAACUGGACCCUUUCUACUCUUGGUAAUUCUUCUACUCCACCCUUAAUGCUUCCCUAUCAAAGUCUUGACAGUGACUUUCAAAUCAAAAAAUUUUAGUGGAAAAUCAAAAGAAUACAGUGAAAAACCAAUUUUUAAGAUCUGAAUUGGGCAAUUAGAAGCUGAUGAUUUCACAAAACAGCAAAAAUUAAUAAAGCAAAAUCAAAAGAUUGACAAAAUAGAAAGAAACAUGAAAUAUCUCAUUGAGAAGAUGACUGCCCAAGAAAACAGGUCAAUAAGAGACAAUUUGAGAAUAAUUAGUCUUCCUGAAAACCCAGAAAUAAGCAGAAACAUUGAUAUCAUACCACAAGAAAUUAUCUAAGAAAACUGUCCUGAUGUUCUUGAACAAGAAGGCAAAAUAGACCUUGAAAGAGUUCAAAACUCUACACCAAAUCCUCAAAAGACAACUCCCAGGAAUGUAAUUACGAAAUUCAAGAGCUUCCAAGCUAAGGAGAAAAUUUUACAAGAAGCCAAAAAGAGACAAUUCAGACAUCAAGGAACACCAAUCAGGAUUAUACAAGAUCUGGCAGCUUCCACACUAAGGACUACAAGCCUUGGAUAUGAUAUUUAGAAAGGCAAGACAAUUGGGUCUUCAACGAAGGAUAACCUACCCAUCAAAAUUGAAUACAUAUUUCCAGGGGAAAGUUUGAGCUUUCAACAAAAUAGAAGAUUUUCAAGUAUUUGUAAAGAAAAGCCCAGAACUACGUAGAAAGUUUGAUAUCCAAACAGAAAGAUGAAGAGAAAUAUGAAAAGGUAAAUGAAGAAAGAGAGAAGAAAGGGGGCAAAUGUUUUUCUUUAUUUAAGUUUUCUCAUUUAAUGGCUUCAAUAAGAUCAAAUUUUUCAUAUUAACAUAUGGGAAAAAAGUUAUUUGUAACACUCAAAAAUUAUAUUCACUGUUAUAGUAAUUAGAUAAAUCAUUCAUUGGUAAAGAUUGGGGUAAUAAGUGACCUAAGAUGAUAUGCAAAAAAGAAAAAGAAAAAGAGAAAAAGGGGAGUAAGGAAUAGAAGAUGGCACCAAGUGAAACUUGAAGGAAUAAAAUAAAAAGGAUAAUCUAUGCCACACAAGGAGAAACAUGGGAAGGGGAGGGGAAGAAUAAUAUUAUAAGAAGGAGAGGAAGAGAGUGCUAAGAGAAAAUACUUAAAACUUACUCUCAGUGAAAUCAAUUCUGGGAGGGAAGAGCAUCUAGAUUCAUUGGGUUAUAAAAUUCAAUCCCACCCUAUAGGGAAGGUGAGAAGGCAAAAACUAAAGGGUAGAGGUGGGGCAGGGAGCACAAAAAACGAGGGAAAGAGAUGGGGGAGGGCAUGUAAUAGACACUAAAAUAGACACAUUUCUGAAAGGCAGCAGUUGUACCAAAAGGCUUCUGAGGUCCCUGCCAGCUCUUGAUCUACAUCUCUAUUAUGUCGAGGACUAGUUUAAAAGUGAUUUUCUUCAUAAAAUCAUUUGAAUCUCCUUCAAUAAGACAGUAAAUCUUUUUUAUCCAAAAUCCCUAUAGAGUGGUUGGUAUAACCCUUUAUAUCACAUAAUCUAUUUUGUAUAUUAACGUGUGUGUACAUAUACAUAUACAUAUAUAUGUAUACAUAUGUAUAUAUACACAUCUACAUCCACACACAAAAGGUCAAAUAUGCAAUACUGUGUUCAUUUUGGGAUUCCAUGUAUUAGGAAAAGCAAUAAUGAGUUGGAAAAUGUCCAGAAGAGGAUAAAAAGGAUCAUGGUAUGACAGAAACCAUGCCACAUCAGCAUAAACUUGGGAAGCUUAGCUGGGAGAAGAGAAGACUAUCUUCAAUUAUUUGAAGAGGAAUCAUGGGGACGAGGGAUUAUACCUUUUUCUAGUUAGCAUCACAGAGCAAAAACAGGAUCAGCAUUCAGUAGCUGCAAAGAGGCAGAGCUGGAUACACUUAGUAUAUGUAGUGCUAUAUCUAAAAAAAUCAAAAACAAUCAGAGUCUUUAAAGUAGAAUUCCUGCCCAGGAAGUGGUGAUGAGACCACCAUUAGUGGCUGGAAUCUAUAGGUGAAGGCUGGAUGACCCCUCUUAGAGGAUGGGGCAGACAGCAUUCCUACAGAGACACCUUUUUAGACUAGAUGACUUCAGAGACCCCUAUUAGUUUUUGAGAUUCUGUCAUUCUAUGUCAUAUCUAUGCUACCAAGCUGUAAACUUCUCAAGGUUAGAACUGUAUUAUUCAUCUUUGUAAUCCCAACUGUUUCUAGAAUAUAAAGACACUCAAUAAAUAUCUUUUGAUGAAAAAAAGAAUCAUAAAUGGACAGGUUUUCAGAGUUGGAAGUAUUCUCUGAGAAAUUGCAGUCAAAUUUGUACCCAGAGAGGAACACCAACAAAAUAUAAUCAGUAGCUUUUGCUUGAAGACUUCCAAUAAGGGGAUCUUCAAGGUCUUCAGGAAAAAAAUAUUUUAUUUUUGGAUUGCUUUAAUUGUUAGGAAAUGUUUCCGCAUAUAUUGUCAAUUUUUACCCAGCUUUAACCCUCAUCCUUUGUAGCUGGUCUAUUUUUUAUCAUUUGUAGUGAGGAGAACAGGUCUAAUUCCUUUUCUAUUAAGAGGCAUUUAAAUCUUUGAAGAAAGCUCUCAUAUCUCUCCCCUUUCCCACUGACUCUUUUUGUUCUCAGGUUGAAAAUCUAAGACUUCUUUAUUCAUUUUUUAUAAACCCUUACCUUCCGUCUUGGAGUCAACACUGUAUAUUGGCUCCUAGGCAGAAGAGUGGUAAGGGCUAGGCAAUGUGGGUUAAGUGACUUGCCCAGGGUCACACAGCUGGGGAGUGUCUGAGGCCAGAUUUGAACCUAGGACCUCCUAUCUCUAGGCCUGGCUCUCAAUCCACUGAGCUACCCAGGUGCCCUCGCAGACUUAACUGAUUUUUUUUUAUUUGAAAACUUUUAUUAAUUAAUUAAUUUAGAUUUUUCCCAUGGUUAUAUGAUUCAUGUUCUUUCCCUCCCUUCCUCUCACCCCUCUCCCAUAGCCAACAAGCAAUUUACACUGGGUUUUACAUGUAUCAUUGAAUUUAAUUGAUCUUCUUAAAGGAUGAAUUUGAAACCUUUGCAAUUCUUGUUAAUUUCCCAUUUAAACUACUCACCCUCACCCCACUCUUAGACAUGAAGGAAUGAAGGAGGAACAGUAUAUUUCUAAUAUUAUUUUAAUUCUCCAAAUAGGAUGAAGGUGAGAGGUCAGAAACUUUUCAAUAAUUUCAAUAAUUCGAAGAACUUACCAUUUAUUUUAAAGAUGUAAGAUUGUGAAGGAGCUCUGGGGCGAUCAACAAACAAAUGGCCUUGGUUGACUAGGACUUCCUUUAUCAGUGGCAAUCCAGUUACAACUAUCAUGGGAGUACCAAGCAGCUCAAUGGAGAAAAUAUUUCCAUAUUUCCUGAAACACUGGAAAAAGGUUCUGGGAGGAAAUUCAAGAAAGCUUUUUUGCUAUAUUUCCAAGCUCAAGAUCCAAACUUCAACUGUGGCAAAUUAAGGCUACAAAUACAAGCCAUCUAUGAAGAAACUUCACCUACUUCUCAAAGUAUGCUCCCUAAAAUUUAAGAAAUUUCAAUUAUUAACCUAGAACUUCAGAGUAAACAUGGCUGCAAUAUAAAUAUGAAUUGCUUCCUCUGCCUGGCACCAAACGAAAUAGACUACCUCAAAAGAGCAUAAAAAUCAUCUUUGGAAGAACAGAGGAAAUCUCCAGUAUCCCACAGAAAUGAAGAUACGUGGGGUUUGAACAUUGCCGCACUAUAAGAAGGAGGAAAAGCUUGCAAAAAAACGUGAACUGAGCUGCCCUUCCCCCUCUUCCCUCAUGGAACCAGAGUAGGGGCUCAGAGCACUCACCGGGACAGCGAGUGAGUGAGGAACGUCUCUGCCUGGGGGGGCACACCAGGGUCCUUGGGAUCUAAAGACUGCUAGGAAACGACCUCUCAGGGAGGUUUCACGGGAGAACCCUGCACACUGGCAAGCGCACAGAAAAUGGAACCCCUGCAAACUGUGAACAGUGAGGAGUCUCGAGAGUCUGUAAAAACUGCCUAAGGCCAAAGUGUUGCCCCUCGCUGUAGUGGGGGGGUCAGGCCAGGGUCCCUGGAAGCUGAGAGGGAAUACCAGAGAUCCAUACCUCAGAGCAGUUUCACAGGAGAUUCUUGUGCACUGGUGAGAAGAGAUCAUAGAGCACGGGGGCAGGCACGCUAAGCAUGGGGGAGGGCAUGCUGAGCACAGGGGCAGGUGCGCUAACAAAACUUGGAGGCUCAGAAGAACUAGUCUGAGGCAACCUAAAUCCACAAAAAACCCACCCAUAUCCCCCAGACCUCACCCCAAAAAGGAAAGGGGACAAUAACCACCAAAGGGAUGGCUCACAUGGCCCAAAAUCAAGCCUGCAAGAAGAAAGGGAAAAAAUUGACUAUUGAAAACUUUUAUGGCAGGAGUACCCAAGGAAAAGAAGAGAAAGAGGAUGAAAUCCAAACAAAAUCAAAACAUUCCCCCCAAAAUGAAAAUUAUCCACAAGCUCGGGAAGAAUUCAAAUUGGAGCUUAUCCAAAAGAUGGAAAACUUCUGGAAAGAAAAAUGGGAGAAAGAGAUCAGCAGUCUGAUAGACAAGACUUCACAAUUGGAGAAAGAGCUGGAAGUCUUUAAUAAAAGGGUAGUACAAGCUGAAAAACAAACCCAGUCCCUAAAAACCAGAAAUAAGCAACUGGAAGACAGUGAGCUUUCAAAACAGUAGGAAUCAAUAAAGCAAAGCCAAAAAAUUAAUGAAUUAGAAGAAAACAUAAAAUAUCUCACUGACAAUCUGACAGAUCAGGAAAACAGAGGAAGGAGAGACAACUUGAGAAUCAUUGGUCUGCCCGAAAAACCAGAGAUAAACAAAAACCUCAAUGCUAUACUACAGGAGAUUAUAGAAGAAAAUUGCCCACAUGUUCAGGAGCAAGGGAGCAAAAUAGAAAUAGAAAGGAUUCAUAGAACACCCUCUAUACUAAAUCCCCAAAAGACAACCCCCAGGAAUGUAGUCGCCAAAUUCAAGAGCUUCCAAGCUAAGGAGAAAAUCCUACAAGAAGACAAGAAGAGAAGAUUCAGAUAUAAAGGGGCCCCCAUAUGGAUCACACAUGACUUAGCAGCUAACAUGCUAAGAGACCACAAAGCAUGGAACACAAUAUUUAGAAAGGCAAGAGAGCUGGGUCUCCAACCAAGAAUCAACUACCCAGCAAAACUGACUAUAUAUUUCCAGGGGAAAGUAUGGGCAUUCAACAAAAUAGAAGAUUUCCAAGUAUUUGCAAAGAAAAGACUAGAACUUAGUGGAAAAUAUGACAUCCAAUCACAGAAAGCAAGAGAAACAUGAAAAGGUAAAUAUGAAAGAAAGGGAAAUAGAGAAAAAUCUUAUCUUUUUCUUUAAGUCAAACUCUCUUCUAAAAGGACUACAUUUAUAUCAAUCUAUAUAUAGUAAUAUGUGGGGAAAUGUAUUGUGUAACUCUCAAAAAUUGUAUGCAUCAUAAGAGUAGUUAGAAGAAUCAUGCAUAGCAAAAGAUUGGGGCAUCAAGAAGAUUUGGUGAAAGGGGUGACAAAGAAAGAAAAAGGGAUGGGGGAAUCAUUAAUGAUACUAAGAUUUACUUCAAGAAAUAGGGGGUGGGAACUAAAUACAAUAAUCUUUCCCACACAAAGAUACACAUGGGAAGGGGAGGGGAAGAACUCUCAUAUGAGAAGGAGAGGAAGAAAGCGCGAGAACCUUACUCUCAGUGAAAUCAACUCUGAGAGGGAAAAACAUCUAGAUCCAUUGGGAUCCUGAAUUCUAUCUUAUCCAACAGAGUAAGAGGGAAAGGAACAUUAAGGAGGGGGAAGGGAGUAUAAAAAGGGAGGGAAGGAGAGUGGGUAGGGGAAGGGAACAUAAAAAGGGAGGGUCUAGAAAGGAAAGCAUAUAAAGGUAGGGGACUAGGAGGACUGACCUAAAGUAAAUCACUGUUCCAAAAGGUUAUAGCUAAAGAAUAAAGGUCAGAACUAGGGGAAGAUAUCAAAAUGCCAGGGAAUCCACAAGUGACAAUGAUAACUUUGAAUGUGAAUGGGAUGAACUCACCCAUAAAAUGUAGACAAAUAGCAGAAUGGAUUAGAGCCCAAAACCCUACCAUAUGUUGUCUUCAAGAAACUCGUAUGAGGCGGGUUGAUACUCACAAGGUUAGAAUUAAAGGAUGGAAUAAGACCUUUUAGUCAUCAACUGAUAGAAAGAAGGCAGGAGUUGCAAUCAUGAUAUCUGACAAAGCCAAAGCAAAAAUAGGCCUGUUCAAAAGGGAUAGGGAAGGUAAAUAUAUUCUGUUAAAAUGGAGUAUGGACAUUGAGGAAUUAUCACUAAUCAACAUGUAUGCACCAAAUGGUAUAGUAUCCAAAUUGUUAAUGGAGAAACUAGGAGAACUGAAGGAGGAAAUAGACAGUAAAACCAUAUUAGUGGGAGACUUGAAACAAUCACUAUCAAAUUUAGAUAAAUCAAACCAAAAAAUAAAUAAGAAAGAGGUAAAAGAGGUGAAUGAAAUCUUGGAAAAAUUAGAGUUAAUAGACAUAUGGAGAAAAAUAAAUAGGGACAAAAAGGAAUACACCUUCUUCUUAGCACCACGUGGCACAUUCACAAAAAUAGAUCAUACACUAGGUCACAGAAACAUAGCAUUCAAAUGCAGAAAAGCAGAAAUAAUAAAUGCAACCUUCUCAGAUCACAAGGCAAUAAAAAUAUUGAUCAGUAAGGGUACAUAGAGAGCCAAAUCAAAAAUUAAUUAGAAAUUAAAUAAUAUGAUACUCCAAAAUUGGUUAGUCAGAGAAGAAAUAAUAGAAACAAUUAAUAAUUUCAUUGAGGAAAAUGACAAUGGUGAGACAUCCUUUCAAACCCUAUGGGAUGCAGCCAAAGUGGCACUCAGAGGAAAAUUCAUAUCCUUGAAUGCAUAUAUUAACAAAUUAGGGAGGGCAGAGAUAAAUGAAUUGGAAAGUCAAAUCAAAAAACUUGAAAGCAAACAAAUUAAAAAACCCCAAAAGAAAACCAAACUAGAGAUCCUAAAAAUUAAGGGAGAAAUUGAUAAAAUCGAAAGUGAUAGAACUAUUGAAGUAAUAAACAAGUCUAGAAGCUGGUACUUCGAGAAAACAGACAAAAUAGACAAAGUACUGGUCAAUCUAAUUUUAAAAAAGGAAAGAAGGAAGGCAAAUUAACAGCAUCAAGGAUGAAAAGGGGGACCUUACUUUAAGACAAUCUUUAAAAACUACUUUGCCCAACUAUAUGGCAAUAAAUAUACCAACCUAGGUGGUAUGGAUGAAUAUUUACAAAAAUAUAAAUUGCCUAGACUAACAGGAGAAGAAAUAUAUUUCUUAAAUAAUCCUAUAUCAGAAAAAGAAAUCCAACAGGCCAUCAAGGAACUUCCAAAGGAAAAAAAAAAACAUGACCUGAUAGAUUCACAAGUCAAUUCUAUCAAACAUUCAAAGAACAGCUAAUCCCAAUACUAUACAAACUAUUUGACAUAAUAAGCAAAGAGGGAGUUCAACCAAAUUCCUUUUAUGACACAAACAUGGUACUGAUUCCAAAGCCAGGCAGGCCAAAAACAGAGAAAGAAAAUUAUAGACCAAUCUCCCUAAAGAAUAUAGAUGCAAAAAUCUUAAAUAGUACACUAGCAAAAAGACUCCAGCAAGUGAUCAGAAGAGUCAUUCACCAUGAUCAAGUAGGAUUUAUACUAGGGAUGGAGGGCUGGUUCAAUAUUAGGAAAACCAUCCACAUAAUUGACAAUAUCAACAAGCAAACCAACAAAAAUUGCAUGAUUAUUUCAAAAGAUGCAGAAAAAGCCUUUGAUAACAUACAACACCCAUUCCUAUUAAAAACACUAGAAAGCAUAGGAAUAGAAGGUUCAUUCCUAAAAAUAAUAAACAGUAUAUAUCUAAAACCAUCAGCUAAUAUGAUCUGCAAUGGGGAUAAACUAGAAGCCUUCCCAAUAAGAUCAGGAGUAAAACAAGGAGGCCCAUUAUCACCUCUAUUAUUUGAUAUUGUACUAGAAAACACCAGCAGUAGCAAUUAGAGAAGAAAAAUAAAUUGAAGGCAUUAAAAUAGGAAAAGAGGAGACCAAGUUAUCACUCUUUGUGUAUGACAUGAUGGUCUACUUAAAGAAUCCUAUAGAUUGAACCAAAAAACUAAUCGAAAUAAUCAACAACUUUAGCAAAGUUGCAGGAUACAAAAUAAACUCGCAUAAGUCAUCAGCAUUUCUAUAUAUUUCCAACACAGCUCAGCAGCAAGAACUAGAAAGAGAAAUCCAAUUCAAAAUCUCCUUAGACAAAAUAAAAUACUUAGGAAUCUAUCUCCCGAGACAAACACAGGAACUUUAUGAACACAACUAUAAAACACUCUCCACACAACUAAAAUAGACUUGAACAAUUGGAAAAAACAUUAAUUGCUCAUGGGUACAAUGAUCCAAUAUAAUAAAAAUGACCAUCCUACCCAAACUUAUUUAUCUAUUUAGUGCCAUACCCAUUGAACUUCCGAAAAAUAUUUUUUUACUGAUUUAGAAAAAAACAUAAAAAGUUCAUUUGGAAGAAUAAAGGAUCAAGGAUAUCCAGGGAAAUAAUGAAAAAAAUACAAAGGAAGGGGGCCUUGCAGUCCCAAAUCUCAGACUAUAUUAUAAAGUAGUGUUCAUCAAAACAAUUUGGUACUGGCUAAGAGACAGAAAGGAGGAUCAGUGGAAUCGACUUGGGGUAAAUGGCCUCAGUAAGACAGUCUAUGACAAACCCAGAGAUCCCAGCUUUGGGGACAAAAAUCCACUAUUUCAUAAAAACUGCUUGGAAAAUUGGAGAACAGUGUGGGAGAGAUUAGGUUUGGAUCAACACUUCACACCCUACACCAAGAUAAAUUCAAAAUGGGUGAAUGACUUGAACAUAAAAAGGAAACUAUAAGAAAAUUAGGCCAUCACAGAAUAGUAUACAUGUCAGAACUUUGGGAAGAGAAAGAUUUUAAAGCCAAGCAAGACUUAGAAAGAGUCACAAAAUGCAAAAUAAAUAAUUUGGACUCUAUCAAAUUAAAAAGGUUUUGUACAAACAAAACCAUUGUAAUCAAAAUCAGAAGGAAAGCAACAAAUUGGGAAACAAUCCUCAUUAAAACCUCAGACAAAGGUUUAAUUACUCAAAUUUACAAGGAGCUAAAUCAAUUGUACAAAAAAUCAAGCCAUUCUCCAAUUGAUAAAUGGGCAUGGGACAUGAAUUGUCAGUCUUCAUAUAAAGCAAUCAAAACUAUUAAUAGGCACAUGAGAAAGUAUUCUCAAUCUCUUAUAAUCAGAGAGAUGCAAAUUAAAACAACUCUGAGGUAUCACCUCACACCUAGAAGAUUGGCUAACAUGACAGCAAAGGAAAUUAAUGAAUGUUGGAGGGGAUGUUGCAAAGUAGGGACCCUAAUCCACUGCUGGUGGGGUUGUGAACUGAUCCAACCAUUCUGGAGCGCAAUUUGGAUCUAUGCCCAAAGGGCGAUAAAAGAAUGUCUGCCCUAUGAUUCAGCUAUAGCACUGCUGGGUUUGUACCCCAAAGAGGUAAUAAGGAAAAAGACUUGUACAAGAAUAUUCAUAGCUGCGCUCUUUGUGGUGGCCAAAAGUUGGAAAAUGAGGGGAUGCCCUUUGGUUGGAGAAUGGCUGAAUAAAUUGUGGUAUAUGCUGGUGAUGGAAUACAAUUGUGCUCAAAGGAAUAAUGAACUGGAGGAAUUCCAUGUAAACUGGAACGAUCUCCAGGAACUGAAUCAGAAUGAGGAGCAGAACCAGGAGAACAUUGUACACAGAGACUGACACACUUGGUAUAAUUGAAGGUAAUGCACUUCUCCAUUAGGGUCAAUGCAAUGUCCCUGAACAAUCUGCAGGGAUCUAGGAGAAAAAACACUAUCCACAAGCAGAGGACAAACUGUGGGAGUCAAAACACCAAGGAAAAGCAACUGCUUGCCUACAGGGGUUGAGGAGACACGUCUGAGGAGAGACUCUAAAUGAACACUCUUAACGCAAAUACUAACAACAUGGAAAUGGGUUAGAAUCAAGAAUACUUGUGAUACUCAGUGGAAUCGCGCAUCACUAUGGGAUAGAUGGGGGGAAGGGGGGUAGAAAGUGAUCUUUGUCUGCAAUGAAUAAUGCUCGGAAAUGACCAAAUAAAAUAAUGUUAAAAAUUA